GUACCUUCAUGCUUCCAAGUCUUUUCUCUAUCUCCUUGGUCCCUUCGGCAACACUACUUAUUUUAAUGUCAGGCCGUUUCAAAAUAUCUCGAAGAAGUUGUUCUUGCAGACUAACCAUAUUUUUCUUUUUACUCCUCACCUCUUCAAGGUAACAUUGACCACGGAAACUAUGAUGGUAUGUGCUAUAAAUGGUUCUCGCAAGCGUUGUUUUACCUAUGCCGCCCAUACCCCAAAUUCCAAUUAUUUGAACAUCAUGUGAACCUUCAACAUCUAAGUAUUUAGUACUGAAUUCUUCCACGCGAAAAGCUAUUCCAACUGAGUGCUUGGCUUCUUUUAAGUCGCUGGUUUUUAGUAGUCCGAUGAUGUCCCCAACAACUUUCUGGAUAAAUACUCCUUCACGCCUGCCAAUUGGAAAUCCAAAUUAUGCAAACAGAUGAUUAAUCAUGCAACAGCAGGAUUCAUAUGAACUAAAUGCCUUAUGCAUCACGACAUGGCUGAUUAGUGAGUAUCCCAAAAGCUAAUUGUACAAGAUGUUGCAAGCGAUUAAAUUUUGUAAAAGAGGAAAUUAGAAAUGAUACCUGUCCGCAGUGGUUUCAAGAUUCCGGCCAACCAAAUCUGCAGAAGCCUUAAGAUCCUUUCUCCACUGCUCGACCUCAUUUGGGUCUUCAUCCCUUUCAUGCUUCUGAAAUGCUUCCCCAAAACUACCACUCUGUUUCCUCACUUCAGAAGGGCCACUCUGUUUCCUCACUUCAGAAGGGUCAACGUCGUAGAAUAUUGGAUAGACUACUUUCCCCUCUUGAUCUUCUCGGCACCUCAUGAUCUUCGACAGCUCCCUCAGGCACCAUCGGGACCCCGCGUAACUCUUUGAGAAGACGACGACCGCGACCCUCGACCCUUCGAUUUCUUGGUCAAGUUCUCUCUGUAUAUUCUCCCCCUUUCUGAGCUCGUAGUCUAUAAACGUGUUGAUUCCGGCAUCGCGUAACGCUUUGAAGACGUGGUCUGUGAACCCAGUGCGUGUGUCCUCGCCUCUAAAGCUCAGGAACACCUCGUACUUCCAGCGGUUUGAACGCCGAGAGGAAGAGGAACCGCCGGCGGCGGCGGUUGCAAGGGCGAGGCUGCCGGUAUUCAUUGAUUUCAAGCAAAGAAGUGAAACUCCUGAUCGUUUCAGUCUAAAGAAAACAAUUCUCUCCCAAGAUUCCCAGCGAAACUCCUGAUUAUUGUUUUGGAUCGCUGGAAGAUGUGAGAGCAAAAAAUAAUGAAGAAAGAAGAGGGAGAGAAGAUGCAAGAUGCGGCUGAGUAAGAAAAGAUGGGAGGGAGAAAAUAAUAACAAAAACUGGGAUUGAAUUAAGUUUUCAACAGACAAAAUAAAUACUAAAGUGAAUAUAUCAGGUUUGACUUUUUAGUGUAAAAAUAUAGUUUUUUGUUUAAGUAAACAGUACCGUUGACUUUUUGUUAAAACUCGCAUAAUAAUAUACCCACAUUUGUAGUAAGAAGGCUUUUCUUAAAAGACCUAGCUUCUCUGUCCUUCCACUUUCCAUAUACUUUCAUCCUCUCUUAUUUGUACGAUCACGGUUAAGUCACGUCUACAUUUUAUAUUCUUAUUAUCUCUAUAAAAAAAUCAAUAUAAAAUGUUGACACUUAACCGUGAUCGCAAAAAAAAAAAAGAAUGAAAGUGUAUAAGAAGUGGAAGAGCAGAGAAGCCGGUCCUUUCUUUAUGGGCUUGAUUGAUUAAGUCUAAUCUACCAAUAUAUUAUAUUUAAUAGGCCUUAUUGUAUAGGUUGUCAUUGUCGACGGCAUCGCGAUCAUUAUUCAAAGCAUAUAAUCAGUUUUUAAUUAAGGUGGAUUACUGUUCUGAUUGGUUUGAAACAUUCAAACUAUUAAAAUGUAAUAUAGUUUUGAAUAAUUGCUAGUGGACGUAUUAAACGAGAGUGCGAGAGGCACGAUAACGAUUCUUAUUGAAAAAUUUAAUCCAUAACACAUGAUGCAAAUUAAUUAAAUACAUAUUCAUACAGGCCAUGAAAUUUAUAAAUCAAGACGUGCUCAAUUAUCAAAUUUAUUAAAAAUUUCUAAGUACCUCAUUAUUUUGUUUGGAUUGAUCAGUUGACCCGAUUAAAAUGCCCACCCUACUUGAGAACCUGCAUUUACAUCGAAUAUGAGAACUUGGCUAGGUCUCGUCCAUGUCCUUAGUACAAUUAUCCAUUAAUGGUCAUAUAUAAUGUAAUGGCAUUUUUUUUUCGAACGACCAUAUUUGACCAUCAAUAAAUGAUUGCAAUAAGUACUUCAAUCCCUAGCUAAUAUUAUUAAACUCGAAUCGCAACGUUUACAUCGAAAAUCAGAGUAUUAAACAAUUCUUGCUCCACGGUUACCUAGUGUCCCCAUUAAAAUUGAAAGAAGGCUACAUGUGCUCUUAGCAAAUUAUUAUUGGCACUUCAAAAAUCUCAUUUUGCACUCCAAACUUUCUAUAAUUAGAAAGAAAAAUAUACUUGUGAGAAGUGUAGAAUGAGAUUGUUGGACUGCUAAUAACAGUUCCCUAAAUAAAUAAAUAAAAUUAAUAUAUAUUCGGUUCGGUUUUAGAAUCAUUGAAACCGAAACCAAACCAAAUGAUUUCGGUUUGAUUCGAUUUUUUGUUCAGUUCGUUUUUUAGGUUUCGGUUCAAUGUUCCGUUCAUUUUUUUUCCUAUUUUUAAUCCACCCUUAGUUCACGACCUUAUUCUAUUUUAAAGGUGGUGUACAGGUUGGUUCAACUGAUGUUGAUGGACGUCAUGGGUUUAUGAACAAACAUGACAAGGUUGCACUGGACAUGGCACAUGUUUGUGGGUUUUGCAUUGAUUGAAUUGUAUUUUAAAUGCAAACAGAUGAGCCAGAGUUUGGCAAUCAAUGCUCCAAUUAGGAUAAAGUCUGAGGACCAAUUUUAACAUUAACAAAACAUAAUAAUAGUAAUAUGCCACUUAUUCAAUAUGCUAAUAUUCAAUCUGAUUUUAAUGAUUCACAUGCAACGAUUUCAUAGUCACAUGAUGUUUUAAUAUUGUAUGUAUAAUUUUUUUAGAGACAUCACGCGACGAAAGGCCAGGGUUCUGCUGUCCCGAACUUUGUGUCUCCUGCCAUGUCUCCUUCUAAUUAUGUCAUUUAACUUAACUCCCAAUUUAACAGUGUCAACUUUUCUUAAUUAAUAUUUAUUUAAAUACAAAAACUGAUUCCCCAAAGAAAAUUGAAAAUCAAAACAAAAAGAAAACAAAUCCCAACUGGAAGUCCGAAAGUCUGCAGCUCCCUCCAAUCUCAGUCGGCGGCAAUUCACACGGCCGUUGAAGCUUCCAUUACACUCUCUUUCUAUAUCUCACCAGCGAAGUCCCGUAGGAUGAUUGAGUCAAACCUUCCCGUAUAUUAUGAUCUCGCCGUUUAUUGUCAUCGAGUCGAUUCAAAUCUCGUUUCUAUAGAUUGACCAAAUUUCUUCCUUGCUUCCUCAAACCAAAAAUUACAUAAAAUUUGAUGUUUGACGGGCCGGGUUGAUCACGAUUGGGUAUUUGAACGGAGAAAAAAAUGGCGAACAGAGAGAAAAGGAGGUUUCGCCAGCCGUGGAGUUCUCCGAUGACAGACCGAUGUUGUUGGCUGUCGAAUUGGUGUUGAUGGGAAUUUGAGUGGCUGUUGCUUUUAAUUUUUUAACUUUUAGUUUUUAUUUAUUUAACCUUAUUAAACAUUUUUUGACAAAAAAAGCCUUAUUAAACAUUUGACACUGUUAAAUUACAAGUUAAAUUAAAGGGUAUAAUUAGAAGGGGACAUGAAAGGAGACACAAAUUUAGGGACAUCAAAUCCCUGGCCGUGUAAAGAGGAUGAGAGCCUACGGACCCUAAUGAGCUUGACCACUGGUUUGAUUGAUGACUAAGAAUUAACAUCUCUUUUUAUGUGACUUGAAGCACAAUUAGGUUUGAUAUAAAAUAAUACAAGAAAGUAUGAACCUAAGAAUUUGUAGUGGAAAAUACAAAAGGUUUUUAAUAUACCAAAGAAAUAACGUAUCAAUCAUGAGUUGUACGUUGUUUUGUAUUUGUCACUGAUGGAUUAGUCAUCGUCAUUGUCAAUGUCAUCGUCAAACUCAUAUGAUAUAGUAUGAUAAUCCUCCUCACUAGUAUCAUUAGGCUCUAUAUAGUACACGUUUAUAAUGCACCAUAUUCACUCCUGAACGAAAAAAGUAUAGGAAAACAAAAAUUGGUAGAAAGUGAGAGACUCAGAGCAGUUCCACCGGAGCUUUGUUUGCCCAUCACCCAGUAAAAAAAAACACACUGAGGGUCUGUCCAUUCACUUCAGCCAACAAAGUUGCCUGACACCCAACCCAAGCCAGGCAACAAACCAGCCCAUUUUUGACAGACCCAAGAGCCGGCCUAUUUGGCUGGCGCGUGGCCGCGAGUAGGAGACAAGGUUGCAGAGGGCUGUCAACCCACUUGUGCUCCGGAGCCCCAUUAGUGACGUGGCAUGUUCAUAGCCGUUGGAUUUCCAACAGUAAAAAAAAUUUAAAAUUUACUUUUAAACUGGACCGUCCGAUCACAAAUCAACGGUCCACGUUUUUUACCCCAAUACAGAAAAUUUUUAAUAAAUUUAGAUAUUAUUAUUAUUAUUAUUUUAUUUUUUAUAAAUUCAGAAAUUAAAAAUAAAAUUAUUAUUUUAUAAUAAAAAUACUAAUAUUUUAAUAAAAUGGACUAUGCUAUUCUUUGUUAGGGGUGGAGAUGCUUUGGCCUAUUACUAUUCACUGAGGUCUAUUACUGUUCACUUGAGUAGAUAAAUGCGCUGGGUGCUGGCACAAAGUCCUUAGGGGUGGACUUGCUCUUAGUGAAAAAGAAGAGAGUGGUAUUUUGGGAGAAUGAUUCUACGAUCUGUAUGUUCACAUAGAUGUGAAUUAUACGUAUUACAAUUUGACCUUGUACAAACAUUUAGGGCACGUUUGUUUGGCCGGCUUAAGUUUCACUGGACUGGACUACUAAGCUAGAAUCAGUAGUCCUGUGUUUGGUGUAAAUUGGGAUUGUGUUUAAUGGGAUUAAGCCGGACUCGUGCCGACUAAAUUCUUCGCUAGGUGGGCUUAGCGAGAGCCACCAAAAACGAGGGGAUUUGUAGUCCCGCUUCUGUUCUUCUCUUCACCUCAUGUUGCUUCGCUUCACCCCAGGCUUGAACGACAACUUGCGGUCCCUUUCUCUGACUCUCUCUCUCUCCUCCUCCCUCUUCUUCAUCUCAGAAGAUCUCCAAAUCUGCAAUUUUGGGUUUGACGGAAACGAAUCCAAGAAAUCCAAGCCAUAGCCGUCUCUCAUUUCCCCGACUCCACAAACCCUGACUCGUUGCCGAACAGCUUGCCAGGCAUUGUUGCAGGCUGGUUCCGCCGCUCCACAGGCUUGCGGCUCCGAUUGAAUCCACGGACUUGGAAAGCUCUCUCCAGUUGUAAUCUUGCACCGAACAAAAACCUGAAAAACCAAGCUCGAUUCUUCGUUUUGCAGAAAAAAAAUUUGGCAAUUAAUCGGAAAAAAAGAGGACAGGAAUGAGAGAGUGGGACGGAGAGAACGAGGGAGAUAAAGAGGGAGAAAAGGAUGAGGCUUCCACAGAGAGAGGGAGAGUUUUAUUAGAAUAAAAAAGGUAGAAUUAAUUAAUAUAAUAUUAUUAGAUAUGAAUUAAAAAAUAUAAUAUUGUAGUUUGCUAUUAUCCUUCUUUUUAGUCCGACACUGCACCAAACGCUUCACUAAGUUAGUCCAGCUUAGUCUAGUCUAAGUCAGUCCAGCUUAGUCCCUGAAGCUAGUCCAGUCUGAGAUAGUCCGGUGCAACAAACGCACCAUUAAGUGAUUCAUGUAUUUGCUGAAUAGUUCAAAUUCAUCGCACUCUUUUCAUUUCCUCAAACAAAACAGAACAAAGAUAGACUCUUAAUUCAUAAAAUGUGGAACAUUUGUCCUUUUACACAUACAUAAUAAACGAAGCAUGUAACAUGUGUUUCACUUGCUUAAUUUGUCGGAAGUUCUCAUGCAAAUGCUAUGCAUUUUAUAAAAUUCUAAUACCAAUUCUAUACAUCUCGUCAAAGAGAGAUAAAAACACGCCACACAAGGGAAAAAACGAAGAAAACCGACUUGACUGGAUUCGACACAGGUAACUUAGAGCCACAAGUGUAACUACCAACGAAACUCAAUCUGGUUUUAUGAGAUUGUGAGAUUCUUUUGGGGUUACCAAGUGAGUCUUCUGCAUGAAAAGGAGGGAAGUCUUUGCGAAUAUGCUUGCAUAAUGUAACAACGUGAAAUCAGCGGCGUAAUUGCACUCUCAAACCCUCAAAGCCGGCCUUUCCCAGGACAGAUUCUUUGCCACAAAACUCGACGCUCUGUAUGCAAAAUAUGAGUCGCUCGGUCAUGCCCGCAAGGUGUUCGAUGAAACGCCCUACAGAAGUGUCUAUCUCUGGAACGCCAUUCUCAGGAGCUACUGUAGAGAGGACCGAUGGGAGGAGACCUUGUGUUUAUUUCGUAACAUGAUGUCUGAGUCAAGAGGUAAUGAUGAAAAGCCUGAUAAUUUCACCAUUCCCAUUGCUCUGAAGGCGUGUGCGAGGUUAAGGGCGUGUGCGAGGUUAAGGGCGUUCGCGUGUGGAAAAAUAAUACAUGGGUUUGUGAAGAAACAUGAGAAGGUUGCAUUGGAUAUGUUUGUAGGUUCUGCAUUGAUUGAAUUGUAUUCCAAAUGCGGACAAAUGGGUGAGGCUGUGAAAGUGUUUGACGAGCCGACAUUCACCUCUCCUAGACCCUACGUAAAGCGGGAGCCUUGUACACUGGUACGACCUUUUAUGUGUUUUUGUAUACUUUUAUGGUUACUGGAUAUGAGCAGAAUGGUGAUCCUGAAGAAGCAUUGGAGUUUUUCUCCCGAAUGGUGAUGGUGGGGCGCAUUAAUCAUGACCGAGUGACGCUUAUUAGUGCUGUUUUGGCUUGUGCUCAGUUAUCAAAUUUUAGAAUUGGAAGUUUUGUGCGUAGUGUUUCUAUUAGGAAUGGGUUCAACUCUAAUUUAUCUUUAGGUAAUGCGUUGCUAAUUCUAUAUGCAAAGACAGGUUCUGUCAAAACUGCCGCUAGGUUGUUCAUGAAGAUGCCGGAAAAAGAUGUGGUUUCUUGGAGCUCCAUGAUUGCGUAUUACACUCAUAAUGAGGAUGUAAUAGAAGCGUUAAAUCUUUUCAACGAAUAUUGAUAUGAGAACCGAACCUAAUUUAGUGACUCUGGUAUGUGCAUUGCAAGCAUGUGCACUGGCAGGUAAUUUAGAAGAAGGUAAGAAGAUCCACGAAAUUGCUACUAAGAAGUGUUUCGAGUUAGAUAUCAAGGUAGCUACAGCCCUGAUUGAUAUGUACAUGAAGUGCUCUGCACCCGAAAAAGUAGGUGAUCUCUUCAAUAUAAUGCCAAAGAAAGAUGUGGUUUCGUGGGCUGCCUUGUUGAGCGGGUAUGCUCAUAACGGAAUGGCAUACAAGUCAAUUGGGGUCUUUCGCGACAUGUUAUUAGACAAAACUAAUCCUGAUGUCGUUGCUAUGUUCAAGCUUCGUGCAGCUUGUUCGGAAUUAGGGAUUCUUCAACAAGCUUUUUGCCUCCAUGCUUAUGUGAUUAAACGCGCCUUCAAGAAUAACAUCUUUGUUGAAGCUUCACUCAUAGAGUUAUACUCGAAAUGCGGCAGCAUAGGCAAUGAUGUCCUAUUAUUUGAAGGGAUAACAGACAAAGAUGUCGUUAUCUGGAGUGCAAUGAUGGCAGGUUAUGGAGUUCAUGGGCAAGGAGAAGUAGCUUUAAAAGUAUUUGAUCGGAUGGUUAAGCAUUCAAAUGUCAAGCCUAAUGAUGUAACAUUUCUCUCGAUUUUAUCUGCGUGUAGCCAUUCGGGUUUGGUUGAAGAAGGCAUUGAGAUAUUCAACACGAUGUUGCAUGAAUACCAACUUAAGCCAUGACCUGAGCAGUACGGGAUAAUUGUUGAUCUUCUUGGCAGGACAGGAGAGCUGGAUAAGGCAAUGGAAAUCAUUGAGAGAAUGCCCAAUCCAGCUGCACCGCAUAUUUGGGGAGCCUUGCUUGGUGCAUGCCGGAUUCAUAAUAACACAAAGCUUUGAGAGGUUGCACCUAAGAGUCUUUUUCAGUUGGAUCCUAAUCAUGCAAGGUAUUACAUCUUGCUGUCGAAUAUAUAUGCCAUCGAUAACAAAUGGGAAAAUGUGACAAAUCUCAGAACUUUGAUAAAGGAGAAGGUGUUAAAGAAGAUGUCCGGGCAAAGCGUUGUCGAGGUGGGGAAUGACAUCUGUAGUUUUGUUGCCGGAGAUAGAUUGCACCUUGAUUCCGAUCAGAUUUAUGAAGUGCUAGGAAAUUUAGAGGUGAAAAUGAGAGAGGAAGGUUAUGUUCUCAAUGUCGAUCUCCUGCUACACAACAUGGCGAAUGCUAUCUAGAUUAGAGCGAGGGAUGUUGACAUGUAGAGGAAAUGAAUCCGGUAGAAUAGAAACAAGAGAUACGCAAGGCUCCCUUGAAAGCACUACACGCUCAUCCUCACUAGCUGACGUGGGACUCAAUCACUUGGCUCAAAUCUAAGCCACCAAUCUCCACCUUGGCGUGAUUCAAAUGCAAAUGCAAAUAGAGCUCCACCUUGACCACAGACACCAAAUUUCAAAUGAGCUCGCCCUUCAACUUCAACAAGCGUUGCCUAGGGUCUAAUACCAAUUGUUGUGCGGAAGCACACCAUCGGGUCUUACACACACGAGUCGGUAUUGCCGAUAUUCCACCUACUUUAUCCACACAAAAAAGGGUAUGGAUUUUAUCAAAAAGCCUUGGCAACAUGUUUUGUGUGAUCAUUGCUUAUAAAGCACCACAUGGUCAUCCUCAGUAGCCGAUGUGGGACUCCACUUGGCGCAAAUCUAAGCCACCGAACCCAACAUUCAUCAACCAGAAGGAAGAUUGAGUUGAGAAAAUUUGAAAUGUUAUACACACUUAUACGCUAUUUUUAGUUUGUCAUACAACUAAAAAUUUGAGUGAUUUGUCAUAUCAAUUUUCCAAAUUCACGAAUUUGUCAUCUCAACUUAAUUUCGUUAAGUUUUUUCAUGCAAAUAAGUUGCAAUCUUUGAGAAUUCAACAUGGUCAAUCAUAUAACGGAGUUAGAGUAAUAUGACAAAUCAAUAAUUUGUAAAUAUCGACAUGACAAAACGCUUAAAAUUUUAAUUCAUAUGACAAAUAAAAAAAAGUGUAUAAAUUCAUAUAACAUUUCAAAAAAAAUUCCAUACUGAAUUUGCACGGUAUGAUUAGUAACAAUUAGGGUUAAUCACAUACAUCAAACAACUAGGGUUAAUUAUAGGAGAGAAAAUAAGGGCAACAAUGGGAGUGGACGAAAGGUGAAAGGGGAAAUUAGUUUCUUUGAAAUGGGGUGGGGGGAGACCUACAGAGGGAUAAACACGACACAAACUUGCAUGUAAAUUUCUCUAAUGUAACUAAUGAAUCAAAUAAAAAAUCAUUAAUUUAUUUGAUAAGAAUAUAAGCUACUUAAAUGUUUAAUUAAGAGCUCGUUCGGCAUUGCUUCGCUAAAAACGCUUCAGCUAAAAGUGCUUUUAUUAUACCCACAUUAAAUCUUAUUAAAAAAGGAAAACUAAUUAAAAGGGUUUGAAAACUUUGAGUUUUAACGAUAAGGACAAAAUAAAGGGUAAAAUGAAUAGUAGCAGAUUUGACUUUUUAGUGUAAAAAUGUGAUUUUUCAUUAAAGUGAACAUUACCGUGGGCUUUUUGUUAAAACUCCCUAUUAAAAAUUCAAGUACUUUAUAAAAAGACACUUUGGAAUGCUUUCUUUCAUUUCCCGAUUGUUUCUUCUUCAUCGUUAAAGCUUCCAAUAUUGAGAUCAGAUAACCUUAAAUCUGUUGCAAGGUUGGACCUCAUCAGAUGAGUAAUCGCUUAACUCUGAAUCGUCGUCAGAGUCCUCCUCAUCAAACUCAUAUGGUGUAGUCUGCUAGUCCUCCUCCUCAUCAGUAUCUUCAUCAGAAUCAUAUGGCAAACGCUUAUAGUCCACUUCUAUCAGAUCUGAAAGUACAUAUUCCCAUUCUACGAUAUCCACUCCUAUUUUCUUCACCUUAAUUUGAUGAUCAUUAAAGUAUGCAAGCACACGAACCCUGUCGCCACCUUUCAGAUUGAGCUCCUUGUUUGUAAGAUUUCCCAUCCAAAGAUAACAUUCAUGGGAAGCAGUUACGGUGGCCUCCAUUGGCCAAAUGUGAAAACGAGUUCCCAGGGUACGAUUAACAACAUGAAUGCAUAGGGACCCAGUACAGUCUAACUUGUCUGAAGAAUAAAUGAUGCACACAACCAACCCUCCUAUAUAAGCAAAAGUAGGCGGCAUUUCAAUUUUGACAGUUUCAUCAUCUCGCGCGAAAUAGGGUAACGAGCGAGGAAUAUCAUUUACAGAGAGAGAAAGUCCACCAAUUACAUCCCCCUUCCAUUUCUACAACAUGAGGUGCAAAGUUAGUAUAAGCAACAAUACGAAAAUCAGAUAGGGAGAGCGAAAGUUCCAUACCAAUAUGAUGUUCUCCUUAAAAGUGGUAGUGAGACUGGUGCACCCUUCCAUAUGAAGGGUAUACAUGUCGUUGUUGCACAAGAAGUUAUCCAGGUUUGGAAUAUCUUUGAGUUUGCAGCAGUCUUUCAAUUGCAAUAUAAUCAUUUCCGACAUCUUUGAAAGGUCGGGCAUACUUUCCAGUUCAGUGCAGUAAUUCACUUCCAGUCUAAGAAAACUUGUCGGCAAAUCUGGGAUUGCCUGAAGGUUUGUGCAAUGAUUUAGAUAUAAAGAUUUAAGCUGGGAAAGGCCACUGAGGAUGGGUAGCCUUGUUUGGGUUAAAACUUGAAAUUUGGGCUCAAAAGGGAGUUGGCCCAAGAGAAGGUCUAGAAUGAGAGAAGCCCAAAGCUCAGCCGAAGCCCAGAAAGCAGAAGAGGCCCUUUCCCGACUAAGUGCAAAUCAUUUGCACCACUUGCUCACCUACCUAGAGGUUAAGUGGUGUAGACCAGCUAACUAAUCAGCCCAAAAGUACUUUAUAAUGGCAGUACAAGUAAAUAGUUGAUGAGUCACUGCCCUUCAAGCUACAUUCAGGCAAGAUUAAUGCUACAGGAGGCCAAGCCAAACUGUCUAUAAAAGAAGAAAGAGAAAUCAGAGAUAAACACACUCAAACAAACAAACAAAUACACAAACUCUGCUCAAACCAGAUUUGCAUACAAAGCUGUAGUCAGCAUCAAGCCUUCAUCCCUUUCGGGAUCAACCUUCACCAAAAGCCUUUGUAAAAGCUCUGCUACCUUGUCUAAAUCUUGCUCUAGUAUCAAUUUCCUUCUGUAAACUCACCUCCCUAUCCCCCUCUCUAGCUCUCAAACCCUUUUGUAAAUCACAAAGAUAGGAAGUUGCAAGACGAUCAGCCUUGCCCGACCCUCUUUGUUUUUGUCUUUUCAUUCAUAAAUCUAGUAAUAUGUUGUAUACUGCCAUUUGUAUCCAAGUUAUUUCUAGCAAGUUUAUGAUUAAAAGACUUCUCAGUUCUUGAAUCCGAUCGGGUUAAUAGUGCCCAACCAUGCAAAAGAUAAGUUGGAAUAUGCACUCGCAGCUUAAUAAGAUCUAAGUUCUAAUCUCUCGGGCGUACAAGAUUGAUUAUUCAAAAGUCCUUAGUCUCAAGGCAUAAAAAAGAACUUUAUGUGGACUUAAUCCAUCCACGACAAUCCUUGAUAACAAGAAGUCCGAAGUUGCUUGGGGCGCAAGUAAUCGACUUAUUUAUUAGUUUUAUCUCUGUUAUAUUAUAAUCAUCAUAGAACGUUUGAGAAUAGAAUUAAUUCUGAUAGGAAGCCUUAAGGCUUAUACCUAAGGCCCUACAAAGGCACCUAUUUGAGUUCAUUCUGCUCUUCAGGCUCGGGUGAUUAGAAGUAUAAUAGUUAUAAUACUCUGCAACAAUGAAACAACCAUUAUAUGUUCGAGUACUUGGUUAGUUCUUGAUUGUGAGCCUCAAGGCCUACACCUAAGACCCCACAAAGGCACCUUUCAUAACUAAAAUAGUCUAUCGGGCAUAUAUAAAAUUAAACUCAACAUCUGUUUUACAUCUGCCAUAUUAAAGAUGGCAGUGGCACGCCUGAGCACUUAAAAGUUAAUUUUGAUUGUGAGCCUCAAGGCCUACACCUAAGGCCCCAUAAAGGCACCUUUCAAAGUUAACUCUGUCAUUCUCUUUCAGCCUUGCCUGACAGGCCUUGCACGACAAGCCCACCAGUAAGCAGAAGCCCGACAGACAGUAUCAACCGGCGCCAACCUCUCGGGGAGCUGUGUGCUCGUUCGCUAAGAAACGUCCUCAUCGGAAAUUUUAGUGACGAACAUAGUUUUGGCACGCCCGGUGGGAUUCGUUAAUCAGAUCUUACUUGCCAAAGAAAUAUGUCAAGAAAACCUGAAGAUUUGAAAAGGGCAGUUGUUCCAGAAAAAUUUAAUGAAGACUUGCAAACUACCUUGUUGCAAAUGUUGCAGAGAUUGGAAAACGCCUCCACGGGCUUUAGAAGGAAAACAAACCUGGUUAUAAAACCAACUAUUCCUAUAUCUUUACCUCUAGUUGGGGACAAAGAUGAUGGGGAAGAAGAAAGAGGAAAAACCAGCCAGCCAGAGGAAGCAGUGGUGGAUAAAUACACAGAUCCUUUCUCAGAGGCCCUAGUAAAUAUGAUUAAUUUGGCAUGGGCCGAGAAGGGGAAAGAAAAAGUAGCAAUGGAAAUAGAAGAAGGAAAACCGGGUGACAAAUCCACAAAAGGGGUAAUCAAAGUGCCUGAACAUCCAAAAGCAGCUAUAAUCAAAGGGAUGGUUCUUUGCAGUAAAUGCCAAUGUGAGUGUGAGCUCGAAAUACCGCUAGCUGGAAUCCUCAUGGAUCAUGAGUUGAUCAGGAGGAAAGAAGAAGAAGAAAGAAAGGAGGCCCGCGAGAAAGCUAGGAGGACAACAGGGAGAGAUACUUCCCGAAGUGUUUUUCAGCGGUUAUGAGGUGAUUCCCAACCUAGAACUUUAUCAGAAAUAUUUCGAAAUCAUGAAGCUUCUGAGGAGGAGGAAGACAAGGAGGCCAAAAAUCCAAAAGAGAAGGGUAUAGAGCAUCCUCAAUAUGGCCAUAUGGGAAGAGAAGUCAAGAGGAAUGAUAGGAUAACAAAUCCUGUCAAAAAAUAUAAUCCUGCCCGCCUCGGGCGAAAAUGGUACAUGGUUGGAAAUAAUGGACAGCCCACCAAACAAAUGGGAGCCUCUAUGGUCAUAAGGGUCCAAAGGCAGCACAAAGCCUACAUGAACUUUUUAAAGAACCCCGCGACUUCUGAAGCAUCCAAGAAUCAAAAGUUUGAAAAAACAUCAUCUGGGGGGAGUAGUCAGUUCCACUGGAUAAGUAAAAAAGAGGUGGAGAGGGCUAAUAGCAAAACAGAAGGCGAGGGAAACCAUGUACCACAAAGCCUACAUCCUGGAAAGUACAAAAUAUUGAGGAGAGCUCAAGAAGAUAUGAUAAUGAUGCCAACUCCCGGAUGGAAGACAUAACCUAUUUGUUUUGGAACUGUUUCGCCCGAAAUGAGACCACUUUCUCUAUUUUUGGUGGAUUCUUUCGGUAAAAUUCCAAAGCAAAUACCGCAUUCGGGCAUGAAUCAACAGGAGGGGGCACCAGAACCACUACUCCCAAAAGAUGCGAUGACCUGGUUGGAUGAGUUCAUGGGCCAGAUCGAAAGCAAGAAAGAAGACCUUCCAGAGCCUAGCAAUUUUCAUAUCAAUAUGGCGUAUGUGUUAUCCGCCAUGUUUGGUGUCGAGCCUAAUCAGCCCGCCACUAUGGAAGGGGACUAUAUGACAACGGAGCCAAUGAUGGCCCAUGUCAGUGUUGAGGUAGCUGGAGAAAGAAAGUCGGGAAAAGCUGAAUCAUCUGAAGCAUCCAAUGAUGGUCCUUUAAGGAUUUAUACAGAUAAAAUGGUGUUCAGUCGCCCAAACAUGUUGCUAGCCAACCACCUUAAGCCAAUAUAUGUUGCAGCACAUUUGAAGGGGGUGCCUUUUAAAAGAAUUUUAAUUGAUGGAUGAGCGGCUGUUAACGUACUGCCAGACAAGCAAAUGAAGAAGAUGAGGAGAUGUAUAAAAGAUCUUAUUCCCACGGACCUCACGGUUUCAAGCUUCUCGGGCGCCAUCACCAAAACUCAUGGAAUAUUGCCCUUAGAAGUGGACUUGGGGUCCAAACAAAUCAUGUUGGCAUUCUUUGUGGUGGAUUGCACUUCCACCUAUAGAGCAUUACUUGGAAGGGACUGGAUCCACCAAAGUCUCGCCAUACCCUCCACUCUACAUCAGCAAGUAGUUGUUUAUCAUGAGACAGAGACAGAGGGACCAGGCUUUUGGGAGAUGGUAGAGGCCGAAUCACGGCCAUUUCUCCUUACAGCCAAUGUUGCGGAGGCAAGUUUCUACAAUCCCAACGUAGGAAUUCUGAAAUGUUCAUGAGCAGAUGAGAACGGCCGCCCUACCAAGGUGACGGCCCAAAAGCUCUUAGAACAAGGAAUGCUCCUUACUAGAGAGGAGUGGGAUAGACCCUGUAUCGUCUCAACGCCCCUACACCAUCAAUGACAGAACAAAAAAGGAAGGAUCAGGUAAUGGUAGUUAAGUCCCUGAUAAAAAAACUAUUGGUAUAUGGGAGAGAAAGAAAGCAAGAAAGGGAGCUCUUAGAGAAAGAAGAGCAGGAAGGGUAGCUAGGAACUCCAACCAACCAUGGUGAAAUCGGAGAAGAGCUUUACGGAGAAGAAUUGGAUGUGGCCAUACGAAUGGCCGAUUGCAUAUAUGACUUGGAUGGGCCAGACGACUUGCCCGAAAGCCCGGAGUUAGUUGAAUUUUUGUGCACAGAACCUGACAAAGCACUUCCAGAGGUUCAGGAUCCUUUGGAAGUCAUUGAUUUGGGAACAGAAUGAGAUCCAAGACCUAUUAAAAUUAGUGGCUUGUUAGAGACUAAUGAUCAGGCAAAGAUUAUCUGUCUUCUACAAGAAUUUAAAGAUUGUUUUGCUUGGCACUAUACUGAGAUGCCAAGUUUAUAUUCAACCUUGGUGGAACACAGAAUGCCCAUCAAUGAGGGGUAUAAACCUGUUAAGCAGACGUCACGAAGGAUGUCAAAGGAAAUAGAAGAAAAGGUCAAAGAAGAAAUUAAAAAACUAGUGAAAGCUGGAUUUAUUAGACUUGCCAAGUAUGUAGAAUGGUUGGCCAACAUUGUACCCGUUUUAAAAGUUAUAACUAAAGCAGUACGAUGUUGUGUUGAUUACAGAAAUAUUAAUGGCGCUACACCAAAAGAUGAAUACCCCAUGCACAUGGCUGACCUAUCCAUAGAUGCAGUGGCAAAACACAAAAUCUUAUCUUUUAUGGAUGGAAAUGUCCGGUAUAAUCAGAUAAAGAUGGCCCAUGAAGAUAUACAAAAAUAGUUUUUAGGUGUCCUAGGCAUGUGGGGCAUAUGAAUACCUGGUUAUGCUAUUCGGGUUCAAGAAUGCUGGUGCAACCUACCAAAGGGCAAUGAAUGCCAUCUUUCAUGAUUUGAUUGGCCAGAACAUGGAGGUGUACAUCGAUGACAUCGUGGUGAAAUCCAAAACAGAAGAGCAACAUCUAACAGACCUCAGGCAAGCUUUAACAAGGAUGAGGAUCCAUAAGCUAAAAAUGAAUCCAAAGAAGUGCGCAUUUAGAGUGAGAGCGGGCAACUUCUUGGGAUUCCUGGUUCAUAAAAAAGAAGUAGAAGUGGACAAGAACAAAUCUCGGGCAAUAAUGAAGUCGCCUUCACCCACCAACAAAGUACAACUUCAGAGGCUGCUAGGCAAAAUUAAUUUCUUGAGGAGAUUCAUUGCCAAUUUAGCGGGCAAGAUCCAACCACUGACUCUUCUGCUGAGACUAAAGGAUAAAGAAACUUUCGAGUGGGGACUACCACACCAAAAGGCUUUUGACAGCAUCAAAGCCUAUUUGACUUCUCCACCAGUGUUGGUACCACCUCAAAGGGGAAAACCCUUAAAGCUAUAUAUCUCUGCUUCAGAAAAAUCAAUCGGGAGUCUACUAGCUUAAAACAAUGAAGGCGGGAAAGAGCAGGCAGUGUACUACCUCAGUAGAAUUUUGACUGAGGUAGAAACAAGAUACUGACCAGUAUUUCACUCAUAUAUCUAGUAAUAUGUUGCAAGACGAUCAACCUUGCCCGACCCUCUUUGUUUUUGUCUUUUCAUUCAUAAAUCUAGUAAUAUGUUGUAUACUGCCAUUUGUAUCCAAGUUAUUUCUAGCAAGUUUAUGAUUAAAAUACUUCUCAGUUCUUGAAUCCGAUGGGGUUAAUAGUGCCCAACCAUGCAAAUGAUAAGUUGGAAUCUACACUCGCAGCUUAAUCAGAUCUAAGUUCUAAUCUCUCGGGCAUACAAGAUUGAUUAUUCAAAAGUCCUUGGUCUCAAGGCAUAAAAAAAAACUUUAUGUGGACUUAACCCAUCCACGACAAUCCUUGAUAACAAGAAGUCUGAAGUUGCUUGAGGCGCAAGUAAUCGACUUAUUUAUUAGUUUUAUCUCUGUUAUAUUCUAAUCAUCAUAGAAUGUUUGAGUAUAGAAUUAAUUCUGAUAGGAAGCCUCAAGGCCUAUACCUAAGGCCCUACAAAGGCACCUAUUUGAGUUCAUUUUGCUCUUCGUGCUCGGGUGAUUAGAAGUAUAAUAGUUAUAAUACUUCUGCAACAAUGAAACAACCAUUAUAUGUUCGAGUACUUGGUUAGUUCUUGAUUGUGAGCCUCAAGGCCUACACUUAAGGCCCCACAAAGGCACCUUUCAUAACUAACACAGUCUCUCGGGCAUAUAUACAAUUAAACUCAACAUCUGUUUUACAUCUGCCAUGCUAAAGAUGGCAGUGGCACGCCUGAGCACCUAAAAGUUAAUUUUGAUUGUGAGCCUCAAGGCCUACACCUAAGGCCCCAUAAAGGCACAUUUCAAAGUUAACUUUGUCAUUCUUUUUCAGCCUUGCCCGACAAGCCUUGCCCUACAGGCCUUGCACGACAAGCCCACCAAUAAGCAGAAGCCUGACAGACAGUAUCAACCGGUGCCAACCUCUCGGGAAGCUGUGCGCUCGUCCGCGAGGAAACGUCCCCAUCGGAAAUUCUAGUGACGAACAAGCCUAUUAAAACCAUUUCCAUCUAGUUUUAAAGUCUCUAAAGAAGGUAGACUCCGAAGGCUUUCAAGAAUGGCAUCAUCCGUUAUAUUGCAGUCACUAAGAUCUAAAUACUGAAGCAUCUUCAGUAGUGCAAAUAAAUGGUAACCCCCAGACACACCCUUACAUCUGUUGAGGCUCAAAUACACGAGAUGUGGGAGUUUUGAAAAGUCUGGUAAUUGAGUCAGGUUACGGGAAUGAUUGAGAUAAAGAAACAUCAACUUCUUCGGCAACUGUUUGGCAAAAAGAGAGAACAAAAAUCAUAAUCCAUAUUAUAGAGAAAGAGAGAUAGGGGGAGAGAGAAAGAGAGAGAAUGACUGUCGACUGGUAUUUAAAAAACACGGACGAGUAAAGGAUUAAUAAUUUGGUUGAGGUUAUGACAAUUAUAUGUAUCGUACCAGGUCGGAAUCCUCCCAAACUCGGACAAGCUUGUUGUAGCCCAAGUCAAUAAAAACUAAGUUUCGUAAAUCAAAAUCUUCGGGUAUGACCUCUAGAGGAAAUCCAUGCCAACACAAAAAUCUUAACUCCUUGGAAAGAUGACGGUAGCUUCCAGUGAGCUUUACAUAGUGGAGUUGGAGAAAUUUCAGAUGCCACAUCUUAUUAAAUGCUUUUGUGCGGAAGGGAUGGUCAUGAGUGUUUUCAGGCAACUCUAAAGUUAGCCCUCUAAUUGCUUCUGUUCCCUGUUAGGGGAAAACAAAAACAAAUCUAAUUCAAGCAAAGCCAUGACUAUCUAUGAAUGAACUACAAAUGCAGCACAUACAAUGCAUUAGAUAGGGGAUAUGCAUAUGCUUCUGUUUAUUUACAUACAUUCAACUUAUACAUUUUUUAUUGGGAUUUGGGAAAGUACUUACAUAUUCGUCUCUAAACACGCUUGUUAUGUCUUCAUGAUGCCACAAUCGACUACGUUUUCCAGGUUCCGUAGCACAUUCUACCCGCACAAUUUCUCUUCCCAUGUCUUGAAUCAAAUCAUGCAUCUUGAAGAAUGAUGAAUCAAAAUCUAGAAGACAUUGAUCUUGAAGAGUUCGGAUUUCUGAUUCUACACAAAAGCGACUACAAUUAUCCAAUAUUGCCACGACUUCAAUUCCAAAUGAGUUAAUAAAGAUAUGAGAUAUGUCAAGGAACACAAGCUUAAUCUAAGUGUUUCAUGAAUUUUUCCAUGUGUAAUGUUUCUCAAUUUAUCCAAUGUCAUUUUCCAUAUGCUUUUACUCUUUUUCAUAGCCAACAAAUGGCCUACGACUUUAAAAGCUAGCGGCAAUCCUCCACAAUAAUCGACAACAUCUGUUGCGAGUUCAAUAUAUUCUUUAUCAGGACAAUGAUUUCCAAACGCAUGCCAACUAAGGAGUUCAAGAGCUUCUUCAUCUGUCAUCGUUUGUGCCUUAUAAAUUUUAUCCACCUUCUGUAUAUUCAACACUUGUUCAUCUCUUGUUCAUCGUUUGUGUCAUCAACUACGAUUAGUACCUUCAUGCUUCCAAGUCUUUUCUCUAUCUCCUUGGUCCUUUCGGCAACACUACUUAUUUUAAUGUCAGGUCGUUUCAAAAUAUCUAGAAGAAAUUGUUCUUGAAGACUAAUCAUAUUUUUCUUUUUACUCCUCACCUCUUCAAGGUAACAUUGACCACGGAAACUAUGAUGGUAUGUGACAUAUGCUGCCCAUACACUGAAUUCCAAUUAUUUGAAC
rnacentral:lncRNA from 1 species